rnacentral:rRNA from 1 species
GACGAACGCUGGCGGCGUGCUUAACACAUGCAAGUCGAACGGAAAGGCCCUGCUUUUGUGGGGUGCUCGAGUGGCGAACGGGUGAGUAACACGUGAGUAACCUGCCCUUGACUUUGGGAUAACUUCAGGAAACUGGGGCUAAUACCGGAUAGGAGCUCCUGCUGCAUGGUGGGGGUUGGAAGGUUUCGGCGGUUGGGGAUGGACUCGCGGCUUAUCAGCUUGUUGGUGGGGUAGUGGCUUACCAAGGCUUUGACGGGUAGCGGGCCUGAGAGGGUGACCGGCCACAUUGGGACUGAGAUACGGCCCAGACUCCUACGGGAGGCAGCAGUGGGGAAUAUUGCACAAUGGGCGGAAGCCUGAUGCAGCAACGCCGCGUGCGGGAUGACGGCCUUCGGGUUGUAAACCGCUUUCGCCUGUGACGAAGCGUGAGUGACGGUAAUGGGUAAAGAAGCACCGGCUAACUACGUG